rnacentral:lncRNA from 1 species
AUAUUUACUAAUUUGGAAUCAACAAUAAUUCCACUCUUAACCAACUUAUUUUAUAGGCUAAAUUACAGAAAACCCCCCUGUAAUAACCCGCUUUUUCACUUUCCCCCCCUGACAUUUAAAAACCUACAUUUUGCCCCCUUGUAAAAUGAAAAAUGUUCACAGGGGGGUUACGGUGUGUAAAAUGACCAUUUUGCCCCUCGCCAUUGUUGUCUUCUUCCUGAGCUUCCUCAGCCGCCCCUUCGAUCCGCCGGUUUUCCACCUCAAUCGGCCACGAUUCCUCUCAAAUUUCUUCUCCACCUGCUCCCCUUCUCCUCCUACACCGUCGCCGCCCAUCGAUUUCGGCGAUGGGUGUUGAUGGAGAGGUAGACAGGGACAACGAGAGCGAAGACGAGGCUGCGGAGGAGGACGAAGGGGACGUGGGCGAGGGCGAAGCAGUGGAGGACGGCGAGGCGGCG